UUUUGGCGAAUUUGGGCUGCAGUGUUUCAUCUUUACAAGGCUUGAUGGUUCUUCCAGGGAAAGACUGAAUUAAUGAGGCUAAAGGAUUGCAGAAAGGCGGCCUCAUAAAGGUAGGAUUUUUCCUUUUCUGCAUGGUGUAUUGCUUUUCAUAUUUUCUUGUAAGGGGGGUUAAAGUGAAUAGUGAAUAUAUUAACAAGAAGGAAGAUCAACAAUUGCUCUUCGCAUGAGUUUCGUGUUAAUAACUCUACGCAAGUUGUAACAAUCUUCUCUGUCUGUCACCCUUGUGACAUAGUAUUGGAUUAUUAUACUUUCGUUUGUUAUUGCACCAAGUUCAGCUUAGAGGAAGGUAAGUGCGUGUUCAUAAUAUAUUAAUGAAUUACUUCAUAAACAAAACAAAAAUUGUACUUGAACUCGCAUUACAUGGUUACCUGAUUACUAAUCUCGUCGAUUGUUACAGUCCCAUCGGACUUCACUCAACCUGUGAGAAUUACGCCUACCACCAGUGCUGGGUUAAGGGUUUCUGAGCUAGGGGAACCUACAAAAGCCUCCCCCCCCCCCACUACCUUGUCAACUAAAUUUUCAAACUUUUUGAUUCCUUUGUUUAUUUAGAAAAACAGUGUUGUACCACUCAAUAUUUUUUGUCACUUUGAAAAUUUUAAAAUUAUUAUUUCUAUGCCUUUUCUCUGCCAAUAGAAUCGUGUGCUAUACAGGUUGUCCAAAAAGUAUGGAAUAUCGUAUGGUAAACAUCAAUAUUUUCAAAAAUGUUUCAAAUAACUUAUUUGGUACCUAUUUAAUUUCUCAUCACAUGGAAUUUUUUAUUUUUUAAUUUUUUUUAAACAAAAGCGCAACAGGUAAUUUUUUUAAUGAUCUAACUUAAUUGAUAGAGUUUUUUAUUCCCUUUUCAAAAAUGUGAAAUAUUAAAAAAAUCAAGAAAAUCGCGAAAAACUGCGGGUGGGUGUAUUCCAAGAACGUCCAAGAAUGCUCAUUGAUCUUGCUACCCAUGACUGUUUUAUGCUAAUCUAGAUAUUGAAACAAGUGAACGCCCACCUAUCUAAAUUAGUAACUUUUCUCUUCAAGUUCACGUACUAUUGUCACAGUCGCAAUCAGUUGUUUCAAUAUCUAGAUGAGCACAAAACGAUCAUGAGUGACUAGAUGAACGUUGUUGAAAUACAUCUACACCCACUUUUUCUCGAUUUUCUCAAAAUUUACAAAACACUAUCAAAAAAGUUGGCAAAAGAAGUGUAUUGGAAUUCAAAAAAAAAAUUAUCUGUUGCACUUUUGUUAUAAAAAAAUAAAAUUCCAUGUGAUAAAAAAUUAAAUAAACAAUAUUUUAUAGGAUAUUCUAUACGUUUCGGACACCGUGUACAAAUACAAAGUCAUUUCAAAAAUCUUUAAUCAAUCGUCAAUACUGUCAGCAAACAAUUGAACUAGAAACUAAAUUUUGAAACUAUUUGGUCCCUUGGUUUAUUUACAAAAAAUUAUUGUUUUUACCGCCCAUUCUUUUUCGACAUACAUAUCAUUGUUAUUAUUAUAGUACUAGGGGUGGUCCCAGUCGGUUCUUUUACUGCGACAUUUUGGUCUAUUGGUGGCUUGGGUCUUCCAGCGUUCCUUCCAGGUCUUUCAUGGACCAAAAGCCAUUCUGAAGUCUCUAGCUGCUUCGCUAAAGGUUCUGGUAUCCUUUACGGCCCCAGUGUUUGCCUUUUUCGAGCUACUUUCCUUGGGAGUGCUGUCAUCAGACCGGUGUCCCUUUUGCGUCCCAGACUUCCGUAGGUGCGUUACCUGGUUGCUUAGAGCUCCCAUGUUGCCCCACUUCAUUAGGUGGAAGGUCAGGUUGCUUAAAGGUGCCUGGUUCCUACCCUUUUUUAGUUUCCGGUGCGCUACCCCGGAGAGUUCUAGUGGUAUGGUGCCACCCCUCUGUUUUCAAAAUACCUCUCUCUGAUUUACAUACACAGGGUGUUCCUACAUAUGAUGUAAAUACGCAAGGGCUUAUUUCAUGACUAAAAGUUCAUAUAAACAUAGGUUCGCAAACGCUUCGUUACCGAUCUACAGGGUGUUAAAAUUUCAAGGUUGUUUCAGUUUUUUCUUUUAUAUCUUCUGCAAUUUUUUAGAUAUUUUGCUCAAAUUUGAAAUCUAACUUAUGCUGAAGGGCUUACACCAUUGGUAGUGAGAAUCUACAGGGUGUUGUUUUUCAGGUGUCAUGUUCCAUUUUCUUCCAC